rnacentral:lncRNA from 1 species
GCAGGUCUUGCCGCGGCUGCUGGGAGGGAUGGGGGUGAGAUUCCCAGGUCAUUGGAGUUGUGUAUCUAGGAGGAUGAUUGCUGCCUCUGCUGAGUCAUGCAGGUUGUCAGGAAAGUUGAGGAAAGUCGGCAGUCACAGGCCUCACCCAGUUCCCACGCAAUCUGAAGGGCCGGUCUCACUCCCAUUGUGCCCCAUCAAUAGCCCCCAGACCAUUUCCAGCUGGAGAGCGAUACAGGCUUGAAAACAUACCCCAGGCUAUCUGCCUCCCAGCUGUGAAAGAAAAGGGCUUGGUUCUUUCCCUGCCUAAGGAGUCUGCACACCGGAUUUACAUCCUCCCCCGAGUGCUGGCCAGAAGGCUUCUCACCUGUUCAAAUUGUUACGAAGUUCAGUUAGAGAUUUGCUUCUCCCUGUGUAGUUUUACCCCCUGCUCCUCUCCCGUUGGAUCCCUGUAUUGCCAGGCAGGAAUGGCCUGCUACAGGACCCCGCGAGCUCCCAGGGCCUUUCUGCUGCUUUCUGUACCCCUGUAUUUCACUCGGCUCUCCAAAUGGACUCAGCUCCAGAAGCUGAAGGGUAGACUCUAUACCCUGCUUCCAUAAGAAUGGGAUCCAUUUUGAUUGUUUCUUCUUUUCAAUGGAAAAAAAGCAAGUAUGCAUUCAGGGAUUUCACCCUUCCUUAACUAUAAAAAGAAGACUUCUUGGGCCAGGCCGGUGGCUCACGCCUGUAGUCCCAGCACUUUGGGAAGCCGAGGCGGAUGGAUCACGAGGUCAGGAGAUCGAGACCAGACUGGCCAACAUGGUGAAACCCCGUCUCUAACAAAAAUAGAAAAAUCAGCUGGGCAUGGUGGUGCAUGCCUGUAGUCCCAGCUACUUGGGAAGCUGAGGCAGGAGAAUUGCUUGAACCUGGGAGGUGGAGGUUGCAGUAAACCGAGAUCGUGCCACUGCACUCCAGCCUGGUGACAGAGCAAGAGUCCGUCUGAAAAAAAAAAAAGACUUCUUAAUAAAAAACAGGCAUACCUCAUUUUACUGCACUUCACUUUUUUUGUGCUUCACAGAUAUUGCUUUUUUUUUUUUUUUUUUUUUUUUUUACAAAUGGAAGGUUUGUGUGGUAACCCUUCAUUCAGCAAGUCCAUUGGUGCCAUUUAUCCAAGAGCAUGUGCUCACCUUGCGUCUCUAUGUUACAUUUUGGUAAUUCUUACAAUAUUUAAAAAUUUUCACUAUGAUUAUAUCUGUGAUGGUGGUCUGUGAUCAGUGAUCUUUGAUGUUCCUAUUGUAAUUGUUUUAGGGCACCACCAACUGCAUUCAUAUAGGACGGUGCACUUAAUUGGUAAAUACUGUGUGUAUUCUAACUGCUCCACCAAUCAGGUGUUGCCUCAUCUUUCUCCUGCUCCUUGGACUCUCAAUUCCCUCAGACACAACAGUGUUGAAAUUAGACCAAUUAAUAUCCCUACAAUGGCCUCUAAGUGUUGAAGUGAAAGAAAGAGUUUCAUGUUUCUCACUUUAAAUAAAAAGCUAGAUAUGAUUAAGCUUAGUGAGUGUAUUAGUCUGUUCUCAUGUUGCUAAUAGAGACAUACCUGAGACUGGGUAAUUUAUAAAGAAAAGAGGUUUAAUGGACUCACCACUCCACAU